rnacentral:rRNA from 1 species
AGUGAACGCUGGCGGCAGGCCUAACACAUGCAAGUCGAGCGGCAGCGGGUCCUUCGGGAUGCCGGCGAGCGGCGGACGGGUGAGGAAUGCGUCGGAAUCUGCCUUUUUGUGGGGGAUAACGUAGGGAAACUUACGCUAAUACCGCAUACGACCUACGGGUGAAAGUGGGGGACCGCAAGGCCUCACGCAGAAAGAUGAGCCGACGUCGGAUUAGCUAGUUGGCGGGGUAAAGGCCCACCAAGGCGACGAUCCGUAGCUGGUCUGAGAGGAUGAUCAGCCAACCUGGAACGGAGACACGGUCCAAACCCCUAGGGGGGGCAGAGGGGGGGAAUAUGGGAAAAGGGGCGAAAGCCUGACCCACCCAUGCCGGGGGGGUGAAGAAGGCCUUGGGGUUGUAAAGCACUUUUGUCGGGAAAAAAACCCUGGGGGUUAAAACCCGGGGGGGAGGACGGUACCGGAAGAAAAAGCACCGGAUAAUUUCGG